rnacentral:rRNA from 1 species
ACAGAGGGUGCUAGCGUUGUUCGGAAUUACUGGGCGUAAAGCGCGCGCAGGCGGACGUGCAAGUCGGAAGUGAAAUUCCGGGGCUCAACCCCGGAGCUGCUCCCGAAACUGCUCGUCUGGAGGACGGUAGAGGGACAGGGAAUUCCGGGUGUAGUGGUGAAAUGCGUAGAGAUCCGGAGGAACACCAGUGGCGAAGGCGCUGUCCUGGGCCGCACCUGACGCUGAAACGCGACAGCAUGGGGAGCGAACGGGA